UUUUCCUCUCCUAGCUGUGGCCAUUUCCAACUCCAACCAACCGAAAUCAACCCCACCACAACACCACUCCAGCCGCAACUCAGGAACCAGGACCAACCGACCUGCGCUUGAAGCCGAGAGGAAGGAAAGAAAAUUCUGGAUUUUCGUGCGUGAGCUUAGCUUGUAUCUGAGGUAAUUUCUGGACUAAUUAAGUUGAUUACUAGUAGAGGAAGCUAUAUCAGAGCUUGCAUGUAUGGAUUGUGCAGUCGGUUGUUGAAAUCGAGCUAUUAGAAAAAUUUCUGUUUUGAUGAAAUGUUGCUGCCAAGAAACUGAGGUGAUAAUGCAGCUCCAUUUUUGUUUUUCCAUGGCAAUCUGAACACCUAAGUGUCUUUAGCUGAGUGAAAACUUGAAGAUUAAGACCAUGCAUGUUGAAUUGUGCAUUCGGAUGAUGUUGUUAAAGCAUACAAAAAUUCUGUUUGGCUAGAGGUUUCGGCCGAGGAGCUGGCUUGGAAUUGUAGCUUCAUUUCUAAUUUCCUGCGAUAAUCUGAGCUCAAUUAAGUGUUUAACCAAUUAAUAACAAGAAGAUUAAGUCAUCUAAGAACAUGCAUGUUGAUGUUAGACAUCCGGAUGAGAGUUUUAAGAAAAGAAUUUCUGUUGUGCGCAAGUUUUGGAGCUGCCGAGAGCUUAGCUUGUUUAUUGCAGCCUGAUUUGGUUUAAUUUUGUUGCUUAAGCUUAUAACCAUAAUUAGCUAGUUAAUAACAAGUUAAUUAGGCUCUGCAUGUAGUUAAUUAAUUAGUUUAAACCAGAAAAAUAAAAUCAAAAUGCAAUCUGCCACAUGCAUGUUCAUCUGAGCCAAGCUGGAAUAAUUUUUAGAAAUUUUGAUGUUGAUGGCUGUUGUUUGAACUCGAUUUCUGAACUGGAAAUGUUCAUUGUCUAGCUAAGUAAUUGCUUGAGGAAAUUGAGAGCUUAAUAGCAUGUUUUAACCCAGAAAAUAAAAUGAAAACAGAGAGUUCCUCCAUGCAUGUUUAACCGUGGCUAGUUGGACAGAUUUCUGGAUUUUCCUGGAUGAUUUUAGUUGCUGUGUGAAUCCGGUUUUGAAGUGGAAAUCGUUAAUAGCUAGCUAAGUGUUUAUAUGCUGAAUUUGAGUACCUAACACCAUGUUUAAACCAAGGGAAAAUUUGAUCUAAAGUAUAUUAGUUACUGGAAUUUCUUUUGUGAUAGCCAAAGGUUGAGUUGGAAUCUCAACUUGGUUUUUAAAUUUUUCCUUGAAACAUGAUGGAUGGAAAUGCCUGGAAUAUGUUGUCUUGGAGUUCUAUAAGAAAUGUAUGGAUGGUUGAACAAAAACAUUUUGGUGUUAAAAGAAAAAAAAGGAGUUUUUCACAAGUGAAAAAUGAGAUUUCAGAUUUUCGGAUGUCCCUGACCAGUCUCGGCAAAAUGUUUAUAUCUUGGUGUAGAAAACUCCGUUUAAGGUGCCGUCAGUGGCAUUUGAAACUAGAAUCAUAGGCCUUUGUUCUGUAGAAAUUUUAUAUUUUUCCUCCAUGUGUACUGCUGUCUGUGAAUCCUCAAAGUAGACUGUUCUGUAUUAAUGUCCUGUUUCUUCAUGAAACUGAAUUUUUACUUGGAUUGAACUUUUAGCUUAUUUGUGAUUUGAAUCCCUGAUUGAAUUGUGGUUGGAAGUGUUUGAUGUUGUCAAGGGCUAAUGAUUGACGAAACCCUUGGCCAUUUAAAUGAUGUUAUAAAUAUUAAAGAGUGAUGGAUUUUAAUUGCUGGGAUUUCUUGGAGGCCUUACCUUCAUUUUUAAUUUAUUCAAGAGGUGAUAUGAACUUGCCAAAAACCAAGUGCUAAUGAUUGAUGAAGCCUUGGUCAUUUAUUUUAUUUUUGAUUUGAUAUGAACCUAUUGAAACCUAGGGCUAAUGAUUGACGAAACCCUAGUGAGAUUUCUAUUGGAAAUGUUGGUUUGUUAUAUUGAUGGAUCUAACUUAUUACGUACUUACAAAUCGGAAUCGUAGGAAAUCCGUUUUGGUCCUGUGAACUUGAGAAGAGUUCUAAAACAAUCUAUUUACAUAUAUCUUCACUCUAGUAGAGUGCGAUAAAAAUCUAGCACUGUAUGUUAAUGUUAGAAACGUCAUGUAGGGAUUUUCUCAACCUUGCCAACUCGAUAUUUCUUCCUUUAAGUUUAAACUAGCCUUAUUACCUUUGGAAAAUGAUUUCCCUAGUUUCUAAAACUCUAGCCUUGUUUUACUCCUUUUCUUUCCUCUAAGAAUUGUUCUUGGCUAGUUAACUAUAGGAAAAGUUUCAAAAUACGAGUUUUAAUAAUUUUAGUUAAAAGCAUAGAAACUUGCUCGGCAAGAAACCUUAUUUUUAGAUAAAAUAGUUUUUAGUGAUAAUUUUUGCAAGAACCAUAGGUUUAAAGAAAUUUUCAAAUAUAUCUUUCUAGCUUUGAUCUUAAGAGGUUGUCGACUUAUUUCAAGAAAAUAAUACUAGUUACCUUUUAUAAGGAAAAGUAUCUCAAGAAAAACUAUAAGAAACAUUUUUACUACUUUUGUCAAGUUUCAACCUAAGUGGAUUCUUAAUUUUUCUAAGGGAAAGUAAACUAGUAGUAUAUCAGAUAUACCUCGAUAUGUAUAAGCUUAAAAAUUGAAUAGAAACUUAUAGUUUCAAAAUUUUGUAUUCUACGAUAUUGCGAGGAGGCGGAAUUCGAUUCCCAACUUGAUAUCUGAACUUCACUCUUGGUGAGUGUCCCUGCCUGUUCUAUGCUUACUUGGUUAAAGUGCUUUCUUGACUCGAUAUGUGAUAAUUUACAAAACGAGUUUUUGAUCCAUCGAAAUGAGCAGUGUGUACUUUAUCGCACUAGCCGUUCGAGUGGUGACUUGCUUGAAAUAUUUUCGUGAAACAUCCUGCUUGCACUUGCUAAGCAUUGAGUAGGGGAAUGUACCACACCUGAGGGUGGGAGGGCCUCUUAUCCUAUCUCAAAUGCUAAAACCUUGGAAUACUUGCUAAGCACUGAGUAGGGGAAUGUACCAUACCUGAGGGUGGGAGGGUCUCUUAUCCUAUCUCAUGUGCUAAGUACUGAGUAGGGGAAUGUACCACACCUGAGGGUGGGAGGGCCUCUUUUCCUAUCUCAAAUACUAAAUCACUAGGCAGGGGAAUGUACCACACCUUAAGGGUGGGAGGGCCUCUUAUCCUGACCUGGUAAUUAAAUGUAGUUACGUCGUUGGGUGAAUCCCUCGACCAAUCAUCUACGGGUAUAUCUCGAGUAUACCGCGUCCUUAGUCGGUGAGCGGGCCUGGGACAGGGGUAUGUACGGUGACGGGUUAUGAUUAAAAUGAGUGGAUCUACAUGGACUAUAAGUAGUGAGAGUUGACGGAGGGUCAACUACGAUGAAUGGUGAUCAAGCGAGGAAAAUGGUUCCUGAGAGCCCCUGUAUCCUACCUCGUGCUGUUAUACGCUUUCCUAACUGUUCAAUUUGGUUAAGUUAUUACUCGCUGUUUGAUUUACGUGACUGCAUGUUUUGGGGCACCACUGAGUUUUAGCUCACCCCACGAUUAUUUAUUUUCCUUGACAGGUUCUGGAAAUUGAAAGCUUUGAAACUUAUCCAUGUUUCGUUUUGGG
rnacentral:lncRNA from 1 species